AGUUGAUAAGGCGAUGGAGUUCGCCAAAACCGCCGGUAACGGCUAAUGACUCCUACCAGCGA
rnacentral:ncRNA from 1 species